rnacentral:rRNA from 1 species
UUCCGGUUGAUCCUGCCGAAGGCUACUGCUAUUGGAGUUCGAUUAAGCCAUGCGAGUCUAAGGGAUCUUCGGAUCCCUGGCGUAAUGCUCAGUAACACGUGGAUAAUCUACCCUCAGGUGGGGCAUAAACCCGGGAAACUGGGGCCAAUUCCCCAUAAAUACAGAUGGCUGGAAUGCUUCUGUAUUCAAAGCUCCGGCGCCUGAGGAUGAGUCUGCGGCCUAUCAGGUUGUAGUCAGGGUCAUGACCUGACUAGCCAGCGACGGGUAUGGGGUGUGAGAGCACUUGCCCAGAGAUGGUUUCUGAGACACGAAACCAGGCCCUACGGGGCGCAGCAGGCGCGAAAACUUCGCAAUGCGGGAAACCGUGACGAGGGAACUCCAAGUGUCUAUGCAUUGCAUAGACUGUUUUUUAGCCUAAAUAGCUAUUAGAGUAAGGGGUGGGUAAGACCGGUGCCAGCCGCCGCGGUAACACCGGCACCCCGAGUGGUAGCCACUAUUAUUGGGCCUAAAGCGUUCGUAGCCGGUUUGGUAAAUUCUUGGGUAAAUCGUACCGCUUAACGGUGCAGAUUCCGGGGACACUACCAGACUUGAGACCGGGGGAGAUCAGAGGUACUUGCGGGGGAGCGGUGAAAUGUUGUAAUCCCGCAGGGACCACCAGUGGCGAAGGCGUCUGAUCAGAACGGCUCUGACGGUGAGGAACGAAACCCU